rnacentral:rRNA from 1 species
GACGAACGCUGGCGGCGUGCUUAACACAUGCAAGUCGAACGGGCCUGUCUUCUUUUUUGGGGGGUGGGUUGAGUGGCGAACGGGUGAGUAUCACGUGAGUAACCUGCCCUUCGGUCCUGGAUAACCGCUUGAAAGGGCGGCUAAUACGGGGUGGUCCGGUUGGUCCGCAUGGGCUGGUCGGGAUAGAUUCACUGUUUUUGGUGUUUCGGCGGGGGAUGGGCUCGCGGCCUAUCAGCUUGUUGGUGGGGUGAUGGCCUACCAAGGCGGUGACGGGUAGCCGGCCUGAGAGGGUGGGCGGCCGCACUGGGACUGAGAUACGGCCCAGACUCCUGCGGGAGGCAGCAGUGGGGGGUAUUGCACAAUGGGCGGAAGCCUGAUGCAGCGACGUCGCGUGAGGGAUGGAGGCCUUCGGGUUGUGAACCUCUGUUUCCGGUGGUGAAGGCCCUGUCCGUGUGGUGGGGUUGACGGUAGCCGGGGAUGAAGCGCCGGCUAACUACGUG